AUUUGGUAAAGCCUCUU
rnacentral:sRNA from 1 species